rnacentral:lncRNA from 1 species
CAGGUAAUGCUAAUGCUACUAUAGCAGUGGUAGCCAGGGUUAGCAGCAGGCUACAGGACUAUGAUACUCCCCUCCAAAUGGAAGGAAAACAACAGAUUGUGAGAGUGAAAGUGAGCUCAGAUGGAAACAUUAAUCUGAAUCUCCAGACAGUGAGAUCAGACAUUUUGAAACAGAUUCAGCAGAAUCUGAGGAAUCAAGGCAUGAACCUGUAUGUAAAGCUAAACUGGAGACGAAAUGCUGGAAUCAUUUUUCAACCAGAGGAGAAUAAAGUGGAAAACAGCACGAAGAGGUUAUGUGAUGAAAUGUAGACUUUUCUAAUAAUUGAAUAUAUAUAUAUAUAUAUAUAUUUUAGCAAAAACUGGAAAAGAUAUUGUCAUAUAGGAUAUUAAAAUAUUGUAAUUGUAACAUUUUGUGUAAUGGAGACCAUAUAUUAAAUUUUCUUAUGCUAUAAAAAAGUUUGUAUUUUAUUUCAUGGUGAAUUAAAGAAGCUUUUUUUUUUUUUUUUAAUGUUUUA